AUUUGUUGAAUUUUUGUUUGAGUCAACUACUCACUGCAUUUUAUGCACUGCAGUGCUAGCUAGCUGUAGCUUAUCCAUUCAGUACAAGAUUAAUUCUCUGAUCCUUUGAUUGGGUGGACAACAUGCCAGUUCAUGCUGCAAGAGCUCUGAUAGGGUGAUGUCCGUCCUCAUAAUCACUGUCUAUGGAAGGGGGUGAGAACCAUGAGCCUCCAAGGUUUUGUAUUGAAGUCAAUGUACCAAGAGGAGGAAGGAAGCUAGCUGUCCUCCGGCUAUACCAUGGUGCUACCCUACAGAGUGCUGUUGAGGCUACUGAUGAUCUUCAUUACAAGAUGGUGUGUUUUAAUCAAUUAUUUGUUGAUGUGAAUAUAUUUAGUAUAGUUUUACAGUUUUUUAAUUUUAUGAAAUUCACUGCUGAGGAGGAUGGUCCUCACCUUCCUCCUCUGAGGAGCCUCCACUGCUGUAUUCCAUUUAUAAAAUUGCCAUAUAUUUGUUUAAAUACAGACUUGCCCAAAAAUAAGUGAAAAAUAUGAUCCAAUGGAUUAUGAUAAUUUUCUGGAGAAAACAAAAUUGUGUAAAAACAAAAAUGUGCUAAUUUAAUUCGCUCCCAUGGCUCAGAUAGCCAAGUGCACACAGCUGUUUGGCUCAUCUUAGUCACAAAGACGAAUACAUUUGCAGCUGUUAAUAAAUUAAUAAACAAUGCCAUGUUGGUGAGUGGUAACAGUCAAAUAAAACCCAGCCCUGAAACUAAAUGUAGGCUGAAAAUAAUUUGUAUGUCACAUCAUAGGAAAAGAUACGAAAGUGGGCAGUUUGGAUUUGUCACGCCCCAAAUAUAUCAUACUUUGACUAAAACAAUGAUUUAUUGACUUAAAUCAUUGUGCAAUAUCAUGGGUAACCUCCUGGUCAUCAUCUUUCAGCUCCAAAAAGUGGAUUUCUACUGGUGUCGGGGCUCUUAAGUGUACCAACCUUUACUGCAAAGAAGAGAGACUUUGCACGUUUUUUGAAAACGCACCAAUAACUUUCAGGGUUGAUGUUUCCUUGAGUGGACGGACGGGGGGCCGGAACACAGUUAUAAAUCAUUUGCACACUGCAAAUUGGCCGCAAAAAUCCACAAACAUGGAAUAGUAUUUGACAAAAACAGAAUCAUUCCAAACCUUGAUUAGGCUACGUUGGGAUAUGACAUGCCUCUUUAUUUAUGCGUGGGGGAUACUUGGGAAAAGAUUUCCUAAAUCCUGGUGAUUUUACAGAAUUUGAUGUCCAACAACAAGAAUGAAUAAACAAAUAAAAUGGUGUGUGUGUGUGUGUCACAAAUUUGGUUCUAGUUAUAUCAUCUUUUGCAUCGAUCACUGAACAUGACAGUUGAUACCUGUACGAUUAGCCCAUUGCUGUAUUACAUGACUUUUUGUCAAUCUCUACUAUUCAACACAAUAUUGACAACAUGCUUUUCCUGGAAGAACCAAGACCAACAGUAGCAGUAGCCUACGAUGAAGUGUGAUGUACCAUCUCUUGGGCUAAUCGCAUCUAAGAACCAUUUUGUCUUUCAUGUUCACGCUUAUCGAUCGAGCAUUCUAUUAUUUCUAAACAACGGUAUAUCGUUCUUCCUGUGUUUCUUCUCAAAUAGCCUUCAAUCAAUGAACAACACGUAUAGAUAAAGGCGUUAGAAGUAAAUUCAUUGGGGUAUUAUAUUGAAUCGAUCAUGCUUUACAUGUCACAUCUUGAAUAUAUGAUUGUGCUCACCACAAUACGAUUCUGGGAACGUGCAAAGUGGACUAGUAAACCACUCCCAUUCAAUCUCUAUUGAUACUACUUGUGGCUGCUUUUGAAUUCUGACAUGGGAGAUUAAUAAACUCAUCCUGAUGGUUGAAACGUUACUUCCGUUCAGGAAUUUAGGGACCAACUCCCUCCUCAUCGCACAUUUUUACCCGGCGUCAAGCCAUCGAUCCAGGUUUUAUACAGACUGUGGCAACUGCCCCUGAGAUGGUCUAGAUUUGACAAUCCAAUGAGCCACAAAUGCAUCACAAAUGGUGUUAGCAAUUGUGUCUUGCUUGGUUAUCUUGUUAACAGCUCUAUUAUUGAGGGGUAUGGAAAGCUGUUUUAACAAAUACAGUGCCUUGCAAAAGUAUUCAGACCCCUUGGAUUUCUUCACAUUUUGUGUUACAUACACAAGGAUUAAAAUGGAUUUGUCUUUUUUUCCCCCCUCAAUAAUCUACACAAAAUACUAUGUAAUAUUAAAAAGGGAAAAAAUAUAUAUUUUGAACGAAAUAAAACAAAUGUAAUUGUUGCAUACUGCAUUCAGAAAGUAUUCACAACCCUGGACUUUUUUUUCAACAUAUUUUUACAAAGUGAGAUUAAAAUGGAUUUGUAAUUUUUUGUCAAUGACCUACACAAAAUACUCUGUCAAAGUGUAAUAAAAAUUCUAACAUUUGUAAAAAAAAUAAAAUAACACGAAUAUAUAUAUAUAUAUAUAUAUAUAUUGAUUAGAUAAGUAUUCCACCCCGAUUCAAUACGUGUUAGAAUCACCUUUGGCAGUGAUUACAGCCAUAUUCCUACACAUAAAUAAAGCAGCAUAUCAUAUCCCAAUGUAGCCUAAUCCAGGUUCGGAACAAUUUUUUUGCAGUUUUACUUUAGUGCCUUAUUGCAAAAAUAUAUAUAUUUUAAUUCUGUACAGACUUCCUUCUUUUCACUCUGUCAAUUAGGUUAGUAUUGUGAAGUAACUACAAUGUUGUUGAUCCAUCCUCAGUUUUCUAUCACAGUCAUGAAACUCAGUGACUGUUUUAAAGUUACCAUUGGCCUCAAGGUGAAAUUCUUGAGCGGUUUCCUUCCUCACUGGCAACUGAGUUAGGUAGGACACCUGUAUCGUGGUAGUGACGAUGUAUAUUGAUACACUAUCCAAAGUGUAAUGAAUAACUUCACCAUGCUCAAAGGGAUAUUCAAUGUCUGCUUUUUAAAAAAUAUUUCACCAUCUACCCAUAGGUGUCCUUUGCAAGGCAUUGGAAAACCUCCCUGGUCUUUGUGGUUGAAAUUCACUGCUCGACUGAGGGACCUUACAGACAGCAUCGUGAAGAAAUUUGUCUCGUCACCAAAAGCACUCACAAACUUCUACAGAUGCACAAUCGAGAGCAUCCUGUCGGGAUGUAUCACCGCCUGGUACGGCAACUGCUCCGCCCACAUCCGUAAGGCUCUCCAGAGGGUAGUGAAGUCUGCACAACGCAUCACCGGGGGGCAAACUACCUGCCCUCCAGGACACCUACACCACCCGAUGUCACAGGAAGGCCAUAAAGAUCAUCAAGGACAACAACCACCCGAGCCACUGCCUGUUCACCCCGCUAUCAUCCAGAAGGCGAGGUCAGUACAGGUGCAUCAAAGCUGGGACCGAGAGACUGAAAAACAGCUUCUAUCUCAAGGCCAUCAGACUGUUAAACAGCCACCACUAACAUUGAGUGGCUGCUGCCAACACACUGACUCAACUCCAGCCACUUUAAUAAUGGGAAUUGAUGUAAAAUAUAUCUCUAGCCACUUUAAACAAUGUUACUUAAUAUAAUGUUUACAUACCCUACAUUAUUCAUCUCAUAUGUACAAGUAUAUACUGUACUCUAUAUCAUCUACUGCAUCUUUAUGUAAUGCAUGUAUCACUAGCCACUUUAACUAUGCCACUUUGUUUACAUACUCAUCUCAUAUGUAUAUACUGUACUCAAUAUCAUCUACUGUAUCUUGCCUAUGCCGCUCUGUACCAUCACUCAUUCAUAUAUCUUUAUGUACAUAUUCUUUAUCCCUUUACACUUGUGUGUAUAAGGUAGUAGUUUUGGAAUUGUUAGGUUAGAUUACUCGUUGGUUAUUACUGCAUUGUCGGAACUAGAAGCACAAGCAUUUCGCUACACUCGCAUUAACAUCUGCUAACCAUGUGACAAAUACAUUUGAUUUGAUAUUACUGCACAGAGAGUGAGUCCAUGCAACCUAUGUAACUUGUUAAGCACAUGUUUACUCCUGAACUUAUUUAGGCUCCUUGCCAUAACAAAAAAGGGGUUGAAAACUUGACUCAAGAAAUUUCAACUUUUCAUUUUUAAUUCAUGUGUAAAUUGAUUUCACUUUGCCAUUAUGGGGGAAUAUGUGUGUAGGCAACAAAACUACAUGUAAAAUUCAGGCUGUAACAACAAAAUGUGUAUAAAUAAAAAAAUUAAAAAAACAUA
ensembl:lncRNA